rnacentral:misc_RNA from 1 species
UACGGAGGGUGCGAGCGCUAACCGGAAUUACUUGGCGUAAAGCGCGCGUAGGCGGCUAAGUAAGCCGGUUGUGAAAGCCCCGGGCUCAACCUGGGAAUGGCAUCCGGAACUGUUUAGAUAGAGUGCAGAAGAGGAAGGUAGAAUUCCUGGUGUAGCGGUGAAAUGCGUAGAGAUCGGGAGGAAUACAAGUGGCGAAGGCGGCCUACUGGUCUGACACUGACGCUGAGGUGCGAAAGCGUGGGUAGCAAACAGG